UACGAAGGGGGCUAGCGUUGUUCGGAAUUACUGGGCGUAAAGCGCACGUUGGCGGACUUGUAAGUUGGGGGUGAAAUCCCGGGGCUCAACCCCGGAAUUGCCUUCAAGACUGCAAGUCUGGAGGUCAGGAGGGGCGAGCGGAAUUCCGAGUGUAGAGGUGAAAUUCGUAGAUAUUCGGAGGAACACCAGUGGCGAAGGCGGCUCGCUGGACUGAUACUGACGAUGAGGUGCGAAAGCGUGGGGAGCAAACAGG
rnacentral:rRNA from 1 species